rnacentral:rRNA from 1 species
GUGACCUCAAAUCAGGUAGGACUACCCGCUGAACUUAAGCAUAUCAAUAAGCGGAGGAAAAGAAACUAACAAGGAUUCCCCUAGUAACUGCGAGUGAAGCGGGAAAAGCUCAAAUUUAAAAUCUGGCGGUCAUCUGGCUGUCCGAGUUGUAAUCUAGAGAAGUGUUAUCCGCGCUGGACCGUGUACAAGUCUCCUGGAAUGGAGCAUCAUAGAGGGUGAGAAUCCCGUCUUUGACACGGACUGCCAGGGCUUUUGUGAUGCGCUCUCAAAGAGUCGAGUUGUUUGGGAAUGCAGCUCAAAAUGGGUGGUAAAUUCCAUCUAAAGCUAAAUAUUGGCGAGAGACCGAUAGCGAACAAGUACCGUGAGGGAAAGAUGAAAAGAACUUUGGAAAGAGAGUUAAACAGUACGUGAAAUUGCUGAAAGGGAAACGCUUGAAGUCAGUCGCGUUGUCCAGGGAUCAACCUUGCUUUUGCUUGGUGCACUUCCUGGUUUGACGGGUCAGCAUCAAUUUUGACCAUUGGAAAAAGGUCAAGGGAAUGUGGCAUCUCUGGAUGUGUUUAUAGCCCUUGGUCGCAUACAAUGGUUCGGGAUUGAGGAACUCAGCACGCCGCAAGGCCGGGUUUUUAACCACGUACGUGCUUAGGAUGCUGACAUACAUAAUGGCUUUAAUCGACCCGUC